CCACCGUCUGCUCGUCACAGGCCUGCAGGGUCUGCAGCAGAGUGCUGUAGUAUCUGGACAACAAUAGCAAACAGGAAGUCAGGAACAAAAUGUGCAGGUGAGACAGGUGUGUGUGUGUCAUCAGUGCUCACCUGUUGGGGAAGUGAGUGGGCACCUGCACCACCUCUCCAAUGGCGUCUGGGUUGGUUCGAGCCACGGUGCAGAUGUCAAGACUGGUGUAACACUCCUCUUGCAC